GAUCCUGGCUCAGGAUGAACGCUAGCGGCAGGCUUAACACAUGCAAGUCGAGGGGCAGCAUAAUGGAUAGCAAUAUCUAUGGUGGCGACCGGCGCACGGGUGCGUAACACGUAUGCAACCUACCUUUAACAGGGGGAUAACACUGGGAAAUUGGUACUAAUACCCCAUAAUAUCAUAGAAGGCAUCUUUUAUGGUUGAAAAUUCCGAUGGUUAGAGAUGGGCAUGCGUUGUAUUAG
rnacentral:rRNA from 1 species